UGGUGAUCUGGUGCGGCGAGUUCGGGCGAUUGCCGAUCGCCCAGACCGGCGAGAAGCCGGGCCGCGAUCAUAACCCGCAUUGCUUU
rnacentral:tRNA from 1 species